AACCGAGCUAGUCGAGCAUCCCAUUAUAUGUCGCCUUAAAUUGGAGGAGAAGAAAAUUGUUUCGGACAUGUCCUUAUUUAUGGUGGGUCCGAAAAACUAAAAGAAAACAUAAUAGAAUAUUUAACAAAAUAAAAAAAAACGAAAAUAAACAAACAUAAGAAUAAAAAUUAUAAUAAAAAGUGCAGUUAUUAUAAUUUAUAUUAAAUACAAAAAUAUGAAAAAUAAUUUAAAUGUGGAGAACAAUUAUAAUUAAUUGAUUGAAGUAACAGAGAAAAAU
rnacentral:lncRNA from 1 species